UCCAGUUGUGGGUAACUGCCUAGGUUGCUUUAUGCCUAGGCAAGUAUUACACUGCUGGGAGAAAAACAACCAAUAGCUGAUGGGCACUCU
rnacentral:snoRNA from 1 species